rnacentral:rRNA from 1 species
AGCAGCAGCCGCGGGAAUACGAAGGGGGCUAGCGUUGCUCGGAAUGACUGGGCGUAAAGGGCGCGUAGGCGGCGAUCAAAGUCAGGCGUGAAAUUCCUGGGCUCAACCUGGGGGCUGCGCUUGAUACUUGGUUGCUUGAGUGGGGAAGAGGGUCGUGGAAUUCCCAGUGUAGAGGUGAAAUUCGUAGAUAUUGGGAAGAACACCGGUGGCGAAGGCGGCGACCUGGUCCUUGACUGACGCUGAGGCGCGAAAGCGUGGGGAGCAAACAGGAUUAGAGACCCGCGUAGUCCCUGUCUCUUAUAC